GCGGCCCGGUGCUUAGGGAGGGCGGGAACCGCGCUCGGCUGAGGGGAUGGAGGGCGCUGAGUUGGAAUAUUCCGAGUUGGAAGGGACCCACAGAUAGUGAAGUCCAAUUCCUUUAGUGAAUGGCCCAUAGAAGGGAUAAAAACCACGAUCUUGGUGUUGUCAGCACCAUGCUCCAAGGAACUGAGCUGACCCCGGGAUCUUCUGAGGCGAUGGUGAGGAUGAGGAGUAAAAUACAGAUGGUUUCUCAGCAAGAAUCCCAUGGAAGGAAGGAAUGAAAGGAAGGAUCACCAAUCCCAAAAAGCCAGAUGAGGUCAGUGUUACCAGCAGAAGACACACAGUACCACGCUGGUAGCCUCAAGUGGCCCUGAAUGCUCACACUGCCUGUACCUCCAUGUCCCAGCCUCUCCCUCCUAGAGAGGAGCAGCAGAAAGAAACGAAACAACUGCAGAUGUCAAGGGCAAAGAGUUCAGGAAGGCUCUAAUCUCAUGAACUCGCUGGAGGAAGGGGUGAGGUGAGAACUUAUUGCUGAGAAAUAGAGGGUUUGUCGUAAGCAAGCUCCGUCAAAGUGCCCGAGCACUGCUGUGUUUCUGCUGAUGUGGCAUGUGGUGGUGCUUGAUGGACUUUUGGAUGACCCCAAAUUUUAGGAGCUUGAGUAUCUCAGUUGCAGAAGUUGGUAUCAAAGUGCAGGAAUAUCUGGAAGAAGGCUGGUGAACUGCCAGCCAGACUGAAGUCUCAAAUAUUUAUCUUUAAAAAGACCGUUUUCUUUUGCAUUUCACAUAACUCUUUGUCAGCAAGUUCAUGCUGUUAAAAAGAUUCAGGAAAGUAGAAAACAGACUUGCUGUAUUACAACAGUUUAGAAGCUUCAAAUUUGCUCUGUCAGUUCCCAUGUCCAAAAUGUCUUAGAAUUUCCUGAUUUCUGAUUAUGACACCUUGCAGAAGAUGGAACAGACACCAAGAGGGACAACUAUACUCCUAACGUAAGAAGUUUAAAACUAGUGGGAAUGAAUUUAUGCUCCAAGUCUAUCUGCUCUCUGUUCUACCAGUGGGUGGAGGUGACUUUUCUGUGUUUUUUGUGAUGGGAAAAUAAAUUUUUGUUGUCCUCCCCACUGAGAAAGUUUUCAGCCAGGCCCUGAUCCUGGCUGUGCUUUGUCUCUGCUGUCACGAGUGAUGCUCCCUGGCUGGCACGUGCCUUGUGCUUAUCUGAAUUGCUCACAGCCUCUUAAUGCUCCUCAGGCGAAUUACUGCCUCAUUAAUCAUUUCCAAUCAGUUUCUGUACUGACACUCUUUUCCUGCUUUUAGUGUGUUUGCAUUAAAAACAUUUCUUUCUGUGA